UAAAAACUAAGGGAAACACAACAAACUUGCGCAAUCAUUUAUUAAGACGUCAUCCAACAAUUCAGACCGUUGUUGAUGACAUGACUUUAGACAUCGUUCCAGUUCCAGAUUUGCAAAAUGUUGAUAAUUCGGAUGCUGAAAGCGUGGCUUCUUCUUCUACCAAUGUAUCAGUCUUAAAACAGCAAACAUUGACAUCUUGCUUAACAAAUAUAAAAUCAUUUGGAGAUACUGGUAUUAAGCGUGGUCAAAUAACCAAUGCAAUAGUCUUCAUGAUCGCAAAAGAUGGGUUGCCUUUAAAUACUGUGGAAAAAACAGGAUUUCGAUAUUUAAUGAAAGUAGUGGCACCACUUUAUAAAGUUCCAGCCAGAAAAACAAUGACCCACAUGA